rnacentral:misc_RNA from 1 species
GUGAAUCAUCAAAUUUUUGAACGCAAAUUGCACUCUCUUCGGAGAGUAUGCCUGUUUGAGGGUCAGCCUAAAAAAAAUCGACGUCGUCGCUGUUUCGCGGUGUCAUUCGUCGGAAAUUGGGUCAUCUUAAAUCUUUGGGUUUUUCAAGUGGAUUAAAUUUUUAUUUACGUUUCAACGAAUGUUACUAAGAUUUCACU